UACAGAGACUGCAAGCGUUAUUCGGAUUCACUGGGCGUAAAGGGUGCGCAGGCGGCCGUGUGUGUUAGAUGUGAAAUCCCGGGGGCUCAACCCCGGACUGCGUCUAAACUACAUGGCUAGAGUAUUGGAGAGGUAACGGAAUUCACGGUGUAGCAGUGAAAUAGCGUAGAUAUCGUGAGGAACACCAGAGGCGAAGGCGGUUACCUGGACAAUUACUGACGCUCAGGCACGAAAGCGU
rnacentral:rRNA from 1 species